UACGUAGGUGGCUAGCGUUAUCCGGAUUUAUUGGGCGUAAAGGGAACGCAGGCGGUCUUUUAAGUCUGAUGUGAAAGCCUUCGGCUUAACCGGAGUAGUGCAUUGGAAACUGGGAGACUUGAGUGCAGAAGAGGAGAGUGGAACUCCAUGUGUAGCGGUGAAAUGCGUAGAUAUCAGGAGGAAUACCGUUAGCGAAGGCGGCAAUCUGGCUGGAAACUGACGCUGAGGUGCGAAAGCGUGGGUAGCAAACAGG
rnacentral:rRNA from 1 species